GACGAACGCUGGCGGCGUGGAUUAGGCAUGCAAGUCGGACGGUAGGGCUUUAUCGUAAGAUAGAGUUUGAGAGUGGCGAACGGGUGAGUAACACGUAGGAAUCUACCCUUAAGACGGGGACAACCCAGGGAAACUUGGGCUAAUACCGGAUGAGAGUGCGAGAGAUUGCAUUUAAAAGGAUGGCGAAAGUUGUCGCUUAGGGAUGAGCCUGCGGUCUAUUAGUUAGUUGGUGAGGUAAGAGCUCACCAAGGCGAUGAUAGAUAGGCGGCCUUAACGGGUGGUCGCCCACACUGGGAUUGAGAUACGGCCCAGACUUCUACGGGAGCAGCAGUCGAGAAUAGUCUACAAUGGUCGGAAGACUGAUAGUGCGACGCCGCGUGAACGAUGAAUCCCUUCGGGGUUAAAGUUCUUUUAUAUGUGAGCAGUGCUUCUUAAUAUUAACAGUAUGGGGAAGAGAUAUUAGCAUAUGAAUAAGCAAACGGCUAACUCCGU
rnacentral:rRNA from 1 species